GUGGACCUCGGAUCAGGCAGGGUUACCCGCUG
rnacentral:rRNA from 1 species